rnacentral:lncRNA from 1 species
AAUGAUCUCUUUUCAUUCCAAACUUUGAUAUUCUGUGCCUUGUCAGGCUUGCAGUUUCAAGAAAAUGUUAAUAAUUCUUUAUAAUAUGCAUAAACUGGCUUUGGCAGGAGGAGAGCUCACAGUGAUAAGAUUCCUGCUACAUGACAAAUCAGAAAACAACAGAAGAAACCGGGAAUUACAGAGUAAAUCUAGCUGACCAAGAAGCAGAAAUUAAGCCCGAAGAAACACCUUGCCGAUUCAGCCCAGACCUAUGCAACCUUUCAGAUCACUGAAAAGAGAGUAUGAGCUAAUCAUUGAAGAAUUUUCAAAUAAAACAAUUUUAUUAUGGACAUUAAUAGAUCUCUAUUCUAAUAUAAACAAUGAUGAGAUUGUAUUUGUUGUAUAUACACUGACUGGCCGGCUGCAGUGUCUAGAAUUAGAAAAAUGAAGGGGUGGUGCUUUUCAGGGUCUAGUUUCUCACUGAAAACCUCUGUUUUGAUCACCCAACAGCACAGACUCAGGGCAAAAAUAGACUGAAUGGACAAAAAUCCAUAUUAUUUGCAGGGUAAUUGUCUGCAAUUCUUAUUUAGAUAAGUCUGCAUUGAUUCCUGGAGUUUUAUAUGAAGUCCACAGUUAUUUUACCCUAUUGAUAUAGACCGAUUUAGAUAAAAUUUUCCAUUGAGAAGUUUACCUGUAUAAAAUUUUGUGGAUUGGGGUCUGGGGUGUAACAAAUUGAUCCUGGGCCUCUACAAAUGGGCUCUUGUGGAACUUAGAUUGCAUCAUUGCCUGAAUUUCACAUAAUAUUUCAGACCCAGGAAUAUAAAUAUUUUUUUAAGAAAGUUUUUGUCCGCGAGUGUUCGUGAAAUUCUCUCGGAGGGUUGAUAGAAGACAGCUCUAAGCAAACUUAAAUCGUUAAAAUCACAUGGAUGGUCCUUUAGUUUGAUUUUAGGAAGAGAUAAUUCAAGCAGACACUGAUGUAUUGAUUCUUUUCAGAUUGCUUUCAAGGGUUUCAAUGAAGAUUGGGCAAAAGGGUGAUUUGGAAACUGUGUGAGGUAUUUUUCUUAUUCCUCCAUCUACUUUCUGUGUUUUUACUACACCAGCUGUACGGAAUUAUAGCUUGCUUUUCGUCUAUCGAAGAAUUUAGCCUUUUGUUGUGUUUGGUAUAAUACGUUUUUCAUCAAUAGUCUUCAGCUGUUCUGCUAAUGGGAUAGUGAAAUUAAAACCAAACGGGUACCUGAAAAUUUCUUCCCGGGGAUAAGAAUUGCAGCAGAAAUCAAAUGGGGGAUACGAAAUUCAGUAUCAAAAGUGCUCUUAGUUUUAUUUUCUUUAAUAAUAAUUUGAUAGAAAAAGAUGAAAUUAGAACAGCAAGAUAUCUUUGAUCAACAAGCAGUACAAAUAAACAUACUUUCACUGGAAAUCAAAAUUCAAAAGUCAAAACAUUAUAAAGAAAACAAAGUCUUCCUUUUACUGUAUGGCCUACUAUCUUGCUAGGGGAGUUGAUUCAGUAAUCAUUUCAAUGGAAGCUAUUGGUUCACUCCUAGAAUGUCCCUUCCUCUUUUCAGUUCUUUCUGUUGCUAAGCAUUCAUUUAGUUCUGUCACUACUUGAUGCAUAGUUGGCCUGCCAGCAGAAAUUGGGGUUGUACAGGCCAUUGCUAUUUCUACUGCUUUCCAGACAGAAUUAUUGUCGAAAUCUCCACCUAACCUUGGAUCAACAACAUUUUUAAUGUCCCCGUUUGCGAGCAGAGAACUAACCCAUUGACGCAGAUGAAUAUUCCUCUCACCUCCUCCUGCAAUCACUGGCCUUCCUGUGAUUAUCUUUAAGAGAACAACCCCGAAGCUAUACACAUCACUUUUCUCUGUUAGCCAGUUUGUCACAGAAUACCUACAAGCCCAAAUUUGGAACUCAAGGCAUAUAAAUUUUCAGUUUCCUAUAGACCAUGAAAUUCUUUUACUUGAACAGAUAAACCAUUUCAUUUUAUUUGAUAUAGACUACUCACUCAGGAUCAAGGUAGCCAGGGGUGCCAGCAACAACUGUUGUUACAUGAGUGCCACCUUCAACCGGGAAAGAUCUGGACAGUCCAAAAUCAGCAAGUCUUGCUUGGAAAUUGUCAUUUAAUAAAAUGUUUGAUGUCUUCAC